rnacentral:rRNA from 1 species
CACUAUCGUUAACUGAAUACAUAGGUUAACGAGGCGAACCGGGGGAACUGAAACAUCUAAGUACCCCGAGGAAAAGAAAUCAACCGAGAUUCCCCCAGUAGCGGCGAGCGAACGGGGAGCAGCCCAGAGUCUGAAUCAGCUUGUGUGUUAGUGGAACGGUCUGGAAAGUCCGACGGUACAGGGUGAUAGUCCCGUACACCAAAAUGCACAGGCUGUGAACUCGAAGAGUAGGGCGGGACACGUGGUAUCCUGUCUGAAUAUGGGGGGACCAUCCUCCAAGGCUAAAUACUCCUGACUGACCGAUAGUGAACCAGUACCGUGAGGGAAAGGCGAAAAGAACCCCGGCGAGGGGAGUGAAAAAGAACCUGAAACCGUGUACGUACAAGCAGUGGGAGCACCUUCGGGUGUGACUGCGUACCUUUUGUAUAAUGGGUCAGCGACUUAUAUUCUGUAGCAAGGUUAACCGUAUAGGGGAGCCGCAGGGAAACCGAGUCUUAACUGGGCGUUAAGUUGCAGGGUAUAGACCCGAAACCCGGUGAUCUAGCCAUGGGCAGGUUGAAGGUUGGGUAACACUAACUGGAGGACCGAACCGACUAAUGUUGAAAAAUUAGCGGAUGACUUGUGGCUGGGGGUGAAAGGCCAAUCAAACCGGGAGAUAGCUGGUUCUCCCCGAAAGCUAUUUAGGUAGCGCCUCGUGAACUCAUCUUCGGGGGUAGAGCACUGUUUCGGCUAGGGGGUCAUCCCGACUUACCAACCCGAUGCAAACUACGAAUACCGAAGAAUGUUAUCACGGGAGACACACGGCGGGUGCUAACGUCCGUCGUGAAGAGGGAAACAACCCAGACCGCCAGCUAAGGUCCCAAAGUCAUGGUUAAGUGGGAAACGAUGUGGGAAGGCACAGACAGCCAGGAUGUUGGCUUAGAAGCAGCCAUCAUUUAAAGAAAGCGUAAUAGCUCACUGGUCGAGUCGGCCUGCGCGGAAGAUGUAACGGGGCUAAACCAUGCACCGAAGCUGCGGCAGCGACACUAUGUGUUGUUGGGUAGGGGAGCGUUCUGUAAGCCUGCGAAGGUGUGCUGUGAGGCAUGCUGGAGGUAUCAGAAGUGCGAAUGCUGACAUAAGUAACGAUAAAGCGGGUGAAAAGCCCGCUCGCCGGAAGACCAAGGGUUCCUGUCCAACGUUAAUCGGGGCAGGGUGAGUCGACCCCUAAGGCGAGGCCGAAAGGCGUAGUCGAUGGGAAACAGGUUAAUAUUCCUGUACUUGGUGUUACUGCGAAGGGGGGACGGAGAAGGCUAUGUUAGCCGGGCGACGGUUGUCCCGGUUUAAGCAUGUAGGCUGAUUGUCCAGGCAAAUCCGGAUAAUCAAGGCUGAGGUGUGAUGACGAGGCACUACGGUGCUGAAGUAACAAAUGCCCUGCUUCCAGGAAAAGCCUCUAAGCAUCAGGUAACAUUAAAUCGUACCCCAAACCGACACAGGUGGUCAGGUAGAGAAUACCAAGGCGCUUGAGAGAACUCGGGUGAAGGAACUAGGCAAAAUGGUGCCGUAACUUCGGGAGAAGGCACGCUGGUGUGUAGGUGAAGUCCCUGCGGAUGGAGCUGAGACCAGUCGAAGAUACCAGCUGGCUGCAACUGUUUAUUAAAAACACAGCACUGUGCAAACACGAAAGUGGACGUAUACGGUGUGACGCCUGCCCGGUGCCGGAAGGUUAAUUGAUGGGGUUAUCCGUAAGGAGAAGCUCUUGAUCGAAGCCCCGGUAAACGGCGGCCGUAACUAUAACGGUCCUAAGGUAGCGAAAUUCCUUGUCGGGUAAGUUCCGACCUGCACGAAUGGCGUAAUGAUGGCCAGGCUGUCUCCACCCGAGACUCAGUGAAAUUGAACUCGCUGUGAAGAUGCAGUGUACCCGCGGCAAGACGGAAAGACCCCGUGAACCUUUACUAUAGCUUGACACUGAACAUUGAGCCUUGAUGUGUAGGAUAGGUGGGAGGCUUUGAAGCGUGGACGCCAGUCUGCGUGGAGCCAACCUUGAAAUACCACCCUUUAAUGUUUGAUGUUCUAACGUUGGCCCCUGACCGGGGUUGCGGACAGUGUCUGGUGGGUAGUUUGACUGGGGCGGUCUCCUCCCAAAGCGUAACGGAGGAGCACGAAGGUUAGCUAAUCCUGGUCGGACAUCAGGAGGUUAGUGCAAUGGCAUAAGCUAGCUUGACUGCGAGCGUGACGGCGCGAGCAGGUGCGAAAGCAGGUCAUAGUGAUCCGGUGGUUCUGAAUGGAAGGGCCAUCGCUCAACGGAUAAAAGGUACUCCGGGGAUAACAGGCUGAUACCGCCCAAGAGUUCAUAUCGACGGCGGUGUUUGGCACCUCGAUGUCGGCUCAUCACAUCCUGGGGCUGAAGUAGGUCCCAAGGGUAUGGCUGUUCGCCAUUUAAAGUGGUACGCGAGCUGGGUUUAGAACGUCGUGAGACAGUUCGGUCCCUAUCUGCCGUGGGCGCUGGAGAAUUGAGGGGGGCUGCUCCUAGUACGAGAGGACCGGAGUGGACGCAUCACUGGUGUUCGGGUUGUCAUGCCAAUGGCACUGCCCGGUAGCUAAAUGCGGAAGAGAUAAGUGCUGAAAGCAUCUAAGCACGAAACUUGCCCCGAGAUGAGUUCUCCCUGAGACUUUAAGUCUCCUGAAGGAACGUUAAAGACGAUGACGUUGAUAGGCCGGGUGUGUAAGCGCAGCGAUGCGUUGAGCUAACCGGUACUAAUGAACCGUGAGGCUUAACCUUACAACGCCGAAG